CGCCUCCCGAGAUGGCCCACGCUCUGACUGUGGAGUGUGUUUCUCUCUAAAUAAAUCCACUUCUUACCUGUCACUUUGUGACUCACUGAAUUCUUUCCGUGAUGAGACAUCAAGGACCUGAGCUUCAUUAAGUCCUGAAACCAGGUGGUGAUCUCAGUUGGAAGACCGUGGGUUUUGGCCGGGUUCGAGUUCCAGCACAUGGGUUCAAGUCCCAGUCUGAAGUGAACGUUUCAUCCUGAUCUUCUUCACAUAGUCCCCCAUUAACAAGUUCAGCAUAUGUACAAUCCAGCUCAGCUCCAAGAUCACCUGGGGACUCUGUGCUGGCCCCUAGCCCAAAAUGAGACACUGAAGAGCUUCCUUGAACAAUUAUUAUCAUUAUUUUUUAAGAGACAGAAGGAGGUGCCUCCCUCCCACAGGGAGCCCACCUGUGUGCACAGCGCCUGCGCAGAGGACUCAGAAGUGGCUGGAAGCUCCCCACGGCCCAUCGCCAGCUUCCUAGGAGAGCCCGUGAACAACCCUGAGCCUCUGCUGGUUGCUCUCAUUCUUUCCAUGAUUUGGGAGAGGCUGGACAUUGGCAGGGAGGUGCUUCCCGCAGAGACUCCAAGGGCCUGGGAUGGGGUCAGACGGAGUCACAGGCUGGCCCCCAGCAGCUCCUGCUGCCUGCUUACCUUGCAGGAGUCUGUGAAAGCAGGAACCCCGGGUCUGGGUUUAUUUUCACCAUGCUUGGUACGUUCUUAGGCAAGUUAGAUCUUUCCUUGUUAUUGUGUCUCCUUCACUAUCUCAUUCAUUCAAUCGGCAAACACGUAUUGAGUAUCGCGUGUAUUCCAGGCUCUGUUCUUGUCAUCAGAAAAACAAUGAAUGAUGAAGUAUCUAUCCUCCUUGGGAGCAGGAGAUGCGAGGGGAGCACUGAAGGGGCAGCGAGCUGGGGUAAGAUGAGGUGACACUUUUGGACAGGCUAAGUGUGCAGUGUCAAUGGGACAGCUGGGUGGGCCUCCAGGGAGGUGGGUAGAUGAUGGCGAAGCCCAUGGAAGCCAACUGUGCCAGAAACAGAGCAGUGGAGGGAGGACGGCGCUGCCAGCCUCAGUCUCCCCAUUCCCCACAGCCCUCUGCACUGGCGAUGACAGUGCGGAUGGCGGGGAUGACGGUAAGCAUUUAUCAAAGGCUUCCUCAACACCAGGCAGGCCCCACGUCAAGUGAUUUGCAAAUCGCCUUUCAUUAUCAGAACAACCCUGGGGGAUGAGUCUGAUCAUCCCUGUUUUCAGAAAGAAUUGAA
rnacentral:lncRNA from 1 species